AUUGAACGCUGGCGGCAGGCCUAACACAUGCAAGUCGAGCGGAUGAAGGGAGCUUGCUCCUGGAUUCAGCGGCGGACGGGUGAGUAAUGCCUAGGAAUCUGCCUGGUAGUGGGGGAUAACGUCCGGAAACGGGCGCUAAUACCGCAUACGUCCUGAGGGAGAAAGUGGGGGAUCUUCGGACCUCACGCUAUCAGAUGAGCCUAGGUCGGAUUAGCUAGUUGGUGGGGUAAAUGCCUACGAAGGCGACGAUGCGUAACUGGUCUGAGAGGAUGAUCAGUCAGACGGGAACUGAGAAACGGCCCCGACUCCGACAGGAAGCCGCGGUGGGGAAUAUUAGGGGAGGGGGGAAAGGGUGAUACAGGCAUGCCGGGUGUGUGAUGAAGGUGUUAUGAUGGUAAAGCGAUUUAAGUCGGAAGGAAGGGAAGUACGUUUAUCCGUGGUGGUAUUGACGUUACCAACAGAAUAAGCACCGGCUAACUUCGUG
rnacentral:rRNA from 1 species